CCCAACCGUCAAGCAGCUGAACGCUGACUCUCAAUGUGGUUUUCACUAUUGUUUUUUUAGAAAUGGUUUAGUGUCGUCAGAAAAAGUCCGUUAGCAUCUCCACUGUAAGGCUAACUACAAGAGAGUUUAGCUCCAACCCCAGUUAAGCAGAUCUGGGCAGCUGAUCAAGGAUCACCAGAAACUCUGCAGAACAUUGGUCCUCCAGCCCAGGACUGGACACCAGUGUUAGUGUCUGUCUCAGAAGCUGAAGAAAAGAGGCCACACCUCAGAGGAAAUAAGCGCUUCCUAAGUGUACGGAAAUACCCGG